GCCUAGUUAGCUUAGUUGGUAGUGCGUCUGCCUAGUAAGCGCUAGGCCGCGGGUUCGAUUCCCGCCCGGGGCG
rfam:Asian citrus Psyllid, Diaphorina citri - Florida Strain, whole genome shotgun sequence.